CUCCUGGCCCCCGCCCGUCUCCUCGGAGCUGGCCCGAGGGCGGGGCGCGCAAAACCCCUUGAGCGCGUCGUCCUGCACCGUCCUGGCCCAGGACUUUAGCUGCCGGAUCGCUCCGGAGCCGAGGACCUCCCCGCGCCCCCCGCCGUCUGGGCCGCCAGGGCCGCCAAGCGAGGGUUCACAGCUGCCCGCACAUCCCGGGUCUCCCCCGCCCCAUUCUAGCCGCCCAGUUUGCCCCCUUCGGGCGAAAGUGAGGAUAAGCUGACGCUUUCCCUCAACUUCUCUGGGAGAGAGAGCCGAAGGCCCACACACUGGCUUCAGUGUCCCAGAACACUCAGCAGGAGGAGAGAACGAUUUAAGAAACAAUUUGGUUCGAAAGGCCAUGGUGAAAAUCAGCCAUUUGUACAGCUGAGACGUGGUUGUGUUUAACCCAGAGGACCUCGCUUUCAGGGAAAAAAGAAAAAGAAGAAAAAAACCUGAUGCGGCCUUUCAGACAGCGCCAAUGAGAAGAAUGUGUGAUUGGAAGCCCCGAGAACCAGCACAGGUCUUUUAAAUAUUAGAGAGAGAGUGGCGUGGCCGGGAGGAUCCCUAGCCCACAGGAGUGAGUCUGGCAGCUCCUGAAGUUUGGGGUACUCAGAAUCGGGGGGGGGGGGGGUAAUGACACAAGACCUGAAAAAUCAUCUCAGUCAUCUCCCACGCUGGAGGAUUUGAGGAUGCACAGUCUCUUCCAAAACCAGGGCCAGGAGGAGUGGGAGGAGCUUUCUCAAGGGAGAAGAAGCAUAAGGAGAGACAAGAGUCUCUCUCCACCCCACAUACUUCCCAUAAACCACAGUGUCAGGCUCUAAAAGUAUCCCUGAUGCUCUAAAGUCAACUGAGAAACCAGUUCCAGGGGUUAAAACUUGUCUGAGAUAACAACUAAAUUCUAUUUGAUUUCCCACUAUUGGUCAUCUGCUGGGAAUGAGGCAUAAGCCCAGCUCUGUCACAUGGAGGAAAAACAUGAUGCAAUUAACCAAGUUGCUAGUGCAUCAUCUCAUCCUGACCUCUGCCACCAGCCUCCAUCCAGGCCAUCCCCUGCAAUCCCACACAGCCAGCUGGGCCCCUGGGGGCCAUCCCAGCCCUCCUCCUGGGUUCCCUUCCCAGGUCCAACUGAGGAUCUUCGUGUGAAGCUCACCUCAGGUACCUAUGUCUGAAUCCCACCAGCAGUGCAAAGACCCUUCCUGGAGGGGAAAGCUCAAGUGGGACUUGCAAUUAAGUCAACAAAUUGUUUCCUUCAACAACCCUGAAUCACAGCUCACCCAGGGACUACCUCAUCAGAGUUCCCAAGCUCAGGAGAUUCCCCUCAUCUGCUGUCAGACUUGGUGGUUGGUCAUCUUUCCACUGAUCCUGCCCAUAUUGCUACAGGCAUGUGCUCCUUUUUCAAAGUGAUGGAAAAUACAAGAAACAACAGUUGCCACUGGGAUAGGAGCUUUCAGAACUUGGUUCUGAACACAUUUCAGUCAUUAAAAUGGCUGUAUGGCGUUGGGCAAGUUAUUUAAUCUCUCUAAUUCAAUAUCCUCAUAAAGAAAGUGAAGAAGAUAUUAGUGAUAUCCAGUGAGCCAGUGGAUCUGAACACACUGAAAAGUGUACAAGCUGAUUUUGUCAUCUCUAUUUCACUUUGUCAAACAAGAAACAUCUCAAGUGAAGGAAACUGCUACCUGAAAAUAAGGAGGUAAGUAGCAAAACUCUCUACAAGUACCUCAGAAUUAUACCUCAGAUCAGAUCCUGGCUCAAGUCCCUAAAUGGUGAUCCUCAUCAAAGUCAGAAUGAAACAAAGCACUUCACAGUCUGGGUCUGUACCAGGAACCCCCCAUUUUGUCAAAAUGCUUAUUUUCUCCACAAUUAGCUUUUAUUCAGAGUCAGUGUCCACCUUUGUCCCCAGGCUGCUCAUUGCGUUGCCUUGAUGAGCUUUGGAGCAGAGUUCUCAGUAGGAUCGGAGUUGUGGGAGGGAAUGUGGGUACAGUCAGCAAGAAGAGUUGUAGCCCAUGAGCACAUGUUCAAAAAUGGCACCUUGUAAUAAUGUUCAAAGCUUUCUAAUAUGUUGACUGUCAAAAGACGAAUGAAAAGGAGCCGGUACACAUCAGGUGGCUACAAGUCCAUAAAUCUCAUAAAAAAUGUAGCCCAAAGGUGGCCUCAGUUGGCAGUGUUGGCUGCCCCUCAGUCUGACCACCAGAUGGGUUGCUGCCCAGGCUCUGGUUCCACAGGAUGCGGAGGAAGCACUGCUCCCCAGUAAGAGUCUCUCUUUCCCUCAGGCCUAAGAAGCAAAUUCAGAUCUUCAUGGCCCAGAUAUGUUCAUACCCAUCCUCCCUCUGGCCCUCACUGGUCCUUCUGUUAGCCUUCCCCUCCUCUUUGAGGUGAGACUGCUCAAUGGCCCCUCUCCACCUCCAUGGAAUAUCCCACAGAGAGGUCUGGGACUCAAGGUCUGUGGCCCUGGCCACACUCAGGACCAUCUCCUGCACCUCUUAGGGCCCCAGCUCAGUCCAGAUGGAACUCAUCUGGUUACGGCUUCAUACUGACUUCACCAAUAAUUACGUUAUGCUUGUCCACACCCACUCCCACAUCACCUCCUUCUGAGUCCCCUUCUCACUCACAGAGCCUGUGCCAAGAAGUGAAAAUGGAAGCAAACCUGAAGGAACCCAGCAGGGGAUCUGAGGACAUAGCCAGGGCCCAAAGCUUGGACUACACACAAUGUCAGGCUCCAGCCUUGCCCAACACAGCCUCCCAAGUAGCUGUGACAAUUCAGCUGCAAAAUCUAUAACAUAAAGGAGCCAGUUUUUCCCUCGAAGCCAAGGUAUGGCUGUGCAGAGAUUUUCUAUGAAGCCAUCCUCCUGUGAGGCAGCCUGUUUCCCGUCUCUCCUCAGGGCCUAGGACACUCCGGGAGGCCUGUGCUUGUUGUGGCCCCACAGCUCUCCAUCCGUAGACAGCUGGGAGUGUCGGGAUCACCACACCCUGGGUUCAAGGACCCCAGAAGGCAGAGUGUUGUUGUUGGGCUCUGAGAAUGUUACCUUGAGUUCCAGAAUGUUCUUUUUUCCCAUUUUGUGGGAUUUUCACAUGUCUUAGUACUCAAGCAGGGCAGACCAAGAGGACUUUGAUCCCACCAACAUCUGGUAGAAUAAACUGUUACUGCAUGAGGGGCCUCGUGGAGGCCUCCUCUCCACUCUUUCGACCAAAAGUGGUCUGCCUAAAAGCAAGAUGCUCUCACACACCUGGGGAGGCAGGGAGCAGCAGACGUGGAAAGGUAGGGGUGGGAGACCUGAACUAUCCUCUGGUUGGGAGCUUCCCAAAAGAGGAAGGAAUUCAAGAUUCAAUUCCUGUCAGGGCUGGAGUGGCUCUUUACAGGGAACUGUGAAGGGUCAGUCCUAAGACACUAGCACAGCCUGAAAUGUAGGUGCCACCUCUUCCACCGCUGCCCUGUCAACCACUGAAUAGAGGCUGGAGGUGGCAGGAAGAGGGCCCCCUCAGAAGCUCUCCUGGUUUUGGCCCACUCCAGCCUCCUCAAGGGGGCUUGGGGGACCUGCGGCUCCAGCCUUUCCCCAGACAAAGGGCCCCUCUGUCACAGCCCCUCCAGAACAGGCCCUCCACCUCAGGCUACCCACUCCCCCCGCCACACACACACAUGCACUUCCUACAGGAACAGAUUCCAAGCAGAGUUAAUGUCGGAUACUGUCUCCCAACAACAGGCUGGAACAAAGGCUGCACAUGACUAAAUGUGCUGGGGUGCUUGUCAGGGCUGAGGCAAAUGUAAUUAUAGGGAGAGGCACAGCCACUGUCAGCAGCCACACCUGGCCGUACAGUAAACAGCACUUCUUCCUGUUGAGCUGGGGGGAGCUGAGAGACAGGGAGGCGACAAACCACAAUUUGAAUCAUUUGGGGAGAAGCUAUAAAUAUAAUAAUGAGUCAUUUGUAAAAUAUAAUUUCAUCCAAAAACCUGGAAAAAAAAUAGGAAAGAAGUUCUUAUGUUAUUUCAGGCUAAAUUUUUCAAGGGUGUUCUGCCAGAACCUGGGGAAGGGACCCAGAUGCCCACCACCAGUCAGGCUGGGUCUCACAUACAGGCCUUCACCAGCCCUGUCCCUGCCUGAGUGCUGCUGGGACACUUCCCUCCCCACCCACUUCCUGAGGAACGGCCUGAGGUUGGAAUGCUGGCACUCCAGAGUUCCCUCUCCUCAGAGAGCCGAUAAGAAUCAUGGACAGGCCAGCCUGGCGUGGAGGCCUUGCUGCCUGAAAACAGUUUAGGACAGGCACUCUGUUGUUUUUGGAAAGCUCUUCCCCAGCCUUGGGGCCCUAACAAACCUUUCAUGCACAGGACAGCUUUUCUAAUGUAGCCCAGGGUCUUUUCAGAGCUUCAGGAAGCCUCAAUUCCAGCCCUGGGCCCCAGUUGCUCUGUCUGGAAGAGAAGGCUGAGGUCUCUAGGUUUGGCCCAGGUCACCACUGCCAUUCUGGGUAGUUGUGAAGAGUAUGUUCAAUUAUAGCUGGACCACUUAAUAUCUGUGUAAACUUAAGAAAAUUACUUAACCUCACUGGGCUCAGUUAACUCAUCUAUUAGAUGGAUUUAAGAAGAGUACCUUCUUCAAAGGGUUGUCGAGUAGGUAAAAUUAGUUAAUAUGUAAAGCAUUUAGAAAAGGGCCUGGCGUAGUGAUUACUGUCCAUUUCUUCAUACUAAAUCUCUCUGCUUCCUUGUCUUCUAGGUCCAGGGCAGAGGUGGAAGCCUCUGGUCCUUUUUCCCUGUUGCUGAGAGUGGCCUUGGAAACCCUCAGUAAUACUCUGUACACCCAGGAGGCCGUACACCCAGGGAGGCCAGAAGAGAAACCAGAGCAGCUCCACAGCCCAGGCCUGGAGGGGAAGCCAGAGGGAGUUUAUGCAGCAGGAGCCCUGGGCCGGCCCCGCCCGGCUGCCUGCCUGACUGAGGGCUGCCUCUGCAGUUGAGUCGUCCCCAUCCCCUGGGGGACUGUUUUCUCUAAUAAUCCUUUAAUAUUAGGAAAUAUCUGUCAGUGUUUACAAUUUCCUGAAUGUCUUCAAUUUGCUCCCUUUUUUGUGAUGUUUGUUUGAAUGAAGAAUCUAAAGAUCUGUACAUUGUCAUUGAUAGAUAUAUCUCUGAAAUCCUUUGUAGUUUAGUUUACCCUCUAAGUAAAUCCUCUCUCCACUUUUUUAAUGAAAAAAAAGUGUCCUUUUUAAUGAAAGCAAAGUAAGGUUGUUUAUGCUGCAGUUUCCCAAACCUGAAUUUUUAAAAUUAAAACACAGUAAAGUCCUUGAAGAACCCUCUCUUCCUUGUGUAGCCUGUAAACUGGCAAUUACAUCCAGA